rnacentral:rRNA from 1 species
UACGGGGGUGGCGAGCGUUACUCGGAUUUAUUGGGUGUAAAGGGCAGGUAGGUGUCCUUACAAGUCAGAAGUGAAAUCCUGCAGCUUAACUGCAGAACUGCUUUUGAAACUGUAGGGAUUGAGGAUAGAAGAGGAGAGCGGAAUUCCCGGUGUAAGAGUGAAAUCUGUAGAUAUCGGGAGGAACACCAGUGGCGAAGGCGGCUCUCUGGUCUAUCCCUGACGCUGAACUGCGAAAGCUUGGGUAGCAAACAGG